UUCACAGCCAGCAUUUGCUCCCACGUUCACAGUCUCCUGAUGACCUGCUCUCUCCAGAGGUGAGAGCUACUGACUCUGCCUUUGUGUUUUCUUCCAGGAUUUUCUUCCCAGGGAACCAUCCCGUGAGAGGUGUGCAGGUCAUGAAGGUGGGCAAACUGCAGCUGCACCAAGGCAUGUUUCCCCAGGCCAUGAAGAAUCUCAGACUGGCUUUUGAUAUUAUGAGAGUGACACAUGGCAGAGAGCACAGCCUGAUUGAAGAUCUGAUUCUACUCCUGGAAGAAUGUGAUGCCAACAUAAGAGCAUCCUGAGACAACCCAGUGAGAGGGAAGGGUGGCCUGUCCCUUUACUGAAUGCCUUAUUGAAGUCACACUCUCUACACUUGGCUGUGUGAGCCUCCCCUAUUGGAAACGGUAUUCUGUCUAUGUAGGUAAAUAAAGGCAGACAUACGGUUUGCAAACCACAAGAAUCAUUAGUUGUAGAGAAGCAUGAUUAUAAUAAAUACAAGAAAUUUGGUUGAAAA